rnacentral:rRNA from 1 species
AUUGAACGCUGGCGGCAUGCCUUACACAUGCAAGUCGAACGGUAACAGGUCUUCGGAUGCUGACGAGUGGCGAACGGGUGAGUAAUACAUCGGAACGUGCCCGAUCGUGGGGGAUAACGGAGCGAAAGCUUUGCUAAUACCGCAUACGAUCUACGGAUGAAAGCAGGGGACCGCAAGGCCUUGCGCGGACGGAGCGGCCGAUGGCAGAUUAGGUAGUUGGUGGGAUAAAAGCUUACCAAGCCGACGAUCUGUAGCUGGUCUGAGAGGACGACCAGCCACACUGGGACUGAGACACGGCCCAGACUCCUACGGGAGGCAGCAGUGGGGAAUUUUGGACAAUGGGCGAAAGCCUGAUCCAGCCAUGCCGCGUGCAGGAUGAAGGUCUUCGGGUUGUAAACUGCUUUUGUACGGAACGAAAAGACUCUUUCUAAUAAAGAGGGUCCAUGACGGUACCGUAAGAAUAAGCACCGGCUAACUACGUG